AUGGGUUUUGUGAAGCUAAACGUUGGUGCUUCUUUUGACCAUGAUCUGCUUAGAGGCACGGCAGGGGCAAUCCUGAGAGAUGACAAAGGAAAGUUCAUUAUUGGCGGAAGUUGGCGACUUGACUGGUGUGUGGAUGUUCUAACGGCAGAAGCAUUGGCACUGAGGUUUGGCCUUACCCUAGCACAGAAGGCGGGGUGCAACCGCCUUAUUGUUAACUCUAAUACUACGGAAGUGAUUGACACGAUGAAGAAUGGAGGACAAUCGGCGGGAGCAGUGUUCGAUGAUUGCUAUUUUAUGGCUUGUGAAUUUACUAUUACUAGAUUUGAACAUUGUAAUAUGGAAGCAAAUAAAGUUGCUCAUGAAAUUGCUAGGCUAGCGAGUUUCUCUGCGACUAUGGAUUGGUUUGAGGAGCCCAUGGUUGAUAUUGUAUCUCUCCUUAUUGAUGAUGUAACUGUUAUUUCUAACUAA
rnacentral:rRNA from 1 species